rnacentral:rRNA from 1 species
GUCCACGCCGUAACGAUGAAUACUAGGUGUCGGGCCGUAUAGGCUCCGGUGCCGCCGCUAACGCAGUAAGUAUUCCACCUGGGAGUACGUUCGCAAGAAUGAACUCAAGGAAUUGACGGGCCCGCACAAGCAGUGGAGUAUGUGGUUAAUUCGACGCAACGCGAAGACCUUACCAGGGCUUGACAUAUACAUGAAAGUCUAAGAGAUUAGACCCCUCUUCGGAGCGUGUAUACAGGUGGUGCAUGGUUGUCGU